rnacentral:rRNA from 1 species
AGAGUUUGAUCCUGGCUCAGAACGAACGUUAGCGGCGCGCUUAACACAUGCAAGUCGAGCGAGAAAGGGGCAACCCCGGUAAAGCGGCGCACGGGUGUGUAACACGUAGGUAAUUUACCCCCAGGUGGUGGAUAACCUUCCGAAAGGAGGGCUAAUACAGCAUGAGACCACGAGCUCGAAAGAGAUUGGGGUCAAAGCCGGCCUCUUCAUGAAAGCUGGCGCCAGGGGAUAAGCCUGCGGCCCAUCAGCUAGUUGGUAGGGUAAUGGCCUACCAAGGCGAAGACGGGUAGCUGGUCUGAGAGGAUGAUCAGCCACACUGGAACUGAGACACGGUCCAGACUCCUACGGGAGGCAGCAGUGGGGAAUCUUGCGCAAUGGGCGAAAGCCUGACGCAGCGACGCCGCGUGAGUGAUGAAGGCCUUCGGGUUGUAAAGCUCUGUGGAGGGGGACGAAUAAGUGUUGGCCAAUAUCCAACAUGAUGACGGUACCCCUUAGC